GAUGAACGCUGGCGGCGUGCCUAAUACAUGCAAGUCGAGCGAACAGAUGAGGAGCUUGCUCCUCUGACGUUAGCGGCGGACGGGUGAGUAACACGUGGAUAACCUACCUAUAAGACUGGGAUAACUUCGGGAAACCGGAGCUAAUACCGGAUAAUAUAUUGAACCGCAUGGUUCAAUAGUGAAAGACGGUUUUGCUGUCACUUAUAGAUGGAUCCGCGCCGCAUUAGCUAGUUGGUAAGGUAACGGCUUACCAAGGCAACGAUGCGUAGCCGACCUGAGAGGGUGGUCGGCGACACUAGAGCUGAGACGCGGUCCAGACGCCUACGAGAGGCAGCAGUAGGGAAUAUUCCGGAAUGGGCGAAAGCCGGACGGAGCAACGCCGCGGGAGGAAUGAAGGUCUUCGGAUCGUAAAACUCUGUUAUUAGGGAAGAACAAAUGUGUAAGUAACUAUGCACGUCUUGACGGUACCUAAUCAGAAAGCCACGGCUAACUACGUG
rnacentral:rRNA from 1 species